rnacentral:rRNA from 1 species
UACAGAGGGUGCGAGCGUUAAUCGGAAUUCCUGGGCGUAAAGCGUGCGUAGACGGCUAUCUAAGUCGGGUGUGAAAGCCCCGGGCUCAACCUGGGAAUUGCAUUCGAGACUGAAUAGCUAGGGUACGGUAGAGGGAAGCGGAAUUUCCGGUGUAGCGGUGAAAUGCGUAGAUAUCGGAAGGAACAUCAGUGGCGAAAGCGGCUUCCUGGACCAGUACCGACGUUCAGGCACGAAAGCGUGGGGAGCAAACAGG